rnacentral:misc_RNA from 1 species
GAUGAAGAACGCAGCGAAAUGCGAUAAGUAAUGUAAAUUGCAGAAUUCAGUGAAUCAUCGAAUCUUUGAACGCACCUUGCACUCCUUGGUAUUCCGAGGAGUACGCCUGUUCGAGUGUUAUGAAGCUCUCAAAACGCAAUUGGCUUAAAACCUGAUUGUUGUUUUGGAUUUGAACUUUGCCGUGUUAUAACGGCUGGUUUUAAAAGUAUUAGCUGGUACUAGAACGAAUUGGUUCUACUCAACGUGAUAAUUAUCUGAUCGUUGAGGACAUUCCUUUCACGAGGAAUGGCCAUAGUAAAUUCAAUGGACUGCUUCUAAUCUGGCUUUAAUUCUUUAUUGGAUUAACCACUUUUCAAAUCUGACCUCGAAUCAGGUGGGACUACCCGCUGAACUUAAGCAUAUCAAUAAGCGGAGGA